AUUGAACGCUGGCGGUAGGCCUAACACAUGCAAGUCGAACGGCAGCACAGUAAGAGCUUGCUCUUACGGGUGGCGAGUGGCGGACGGGUGAUGAAUACAUCGGAAUCUACUUUUUCGUGGGGGAUAACGUAGGGAAACUUACGCUAAUACCGCAUACGACCUACGGGUGAAAGCAGGGGAUCUUCGGACCUUGCGCGAUUGAAUGAGCCGAUGUCGGAUUAGCUAGUUGGCGGGGUAAAGGCCCACCAAGGGGACGAUCCGUAGCUGGUCUGAGAGGAUGAUCAGCCACACUGGAACUGAGACACGGCCCAGACUCCUACGGGAGGCAGCAGUGGGGAAUAUUGGACAAUGGGCGCAAGCCUGAUCCAGCAAUACCGCGUGGGUGAAGAAGGCCUUCGGGUUGUAAAGCCCUUUUGUUGGGAAAGAAAAGCAGCAGGUUAAUACCCCGCUGUUCUGACGGUACCCAAAGAAUAAGCACCGGCUAACUUCGUG
rnacentral:rRNA from 1 species